GCAGGUUAGCUCCGUUGGUAGAGCGCUCCAUUGGAAAUGGAGAGGUCCCGGGUUCGAUACCCGGAUCAGGCG
rnacentral:tRNA from 2 species